AACGAACGCUGGCGGCAGGCCUAACACAUGCAAGUUGAACGCCGUAGCAAUACGGAGUGGCAGACGGGUGAGUAACGCGUGGGAACAUACCCCUCGGUUCGGAAUAACUCAGGGAAACUUGAGCUAAUACCGGAUACGUCCAAGGUUUUAAUCGACCUUGGAGAAAGAUUUAUCGCCGGAGGAUUGGCCCGCGUCUGAUUAGCUUGUUGGUGAGGUAAUGGCUCACCAAGGCGACGAUCAGAGCUGGUCUGAGAGGAUGAUCAGCCACAUUGGGACUGAGACACGGCCCAAACUCCUACGGGAGGCAGCAGUGGGGAAUAUUGGACAAUGGCGCAAGCCUGAUCCAGCGAUGCCGUGUGUGUGAAGAAGGCCUGCGGGUUGUAAAGCAC
rnacentral:rRNA from 1 species